rnacentral:pre_miRNA from 1 species
UCCGUGUCCUAAGUAGUAGUGCCGUAGUCAAGGUGCUGACUGAAAUCUCUGCCUGCGCACGGCUACUUAAUACACUGA